rnacentral:rRNA from 1 species
GGAAGUAAAAGUCGUAACAAGGUUUCCGUAGGUGAACCUGCGGAAGGAUCAUUAACGAUUGCUACACACGCAAAACAAAACAAGACAAAAGACUCCUGGUUAAAAGCUAAAACUCCUGACGAGUUCAGGAAGGCUGAAGCCUCUCUCGCUCUUGCGAAGAAUUGGUCAUCGUGGUCGUUGUGCGUCUGCACUGCGAACGAUGUAAAACAAACAACCGAUGGCCUCUCAUACAGUAUAAUAUCUCUCGCCAUGGCACACAGGCCUGGCAUCUGGUACGAGUCUCUCGCAGUCUCAAAACCAACCUUACAACUCUGAGCGGUGGAUCACUUGGCUUGUGGAUGCUAUGAAGACCAUAGCUAAGUGUGAGAAUGGCAGCGAGCCGUCGCUAUAUGCGCUGUCCUCUUCUUAUCACAUGUCGAAUGCACAUUGCGCCCCACCCAGUGGUCGGCUAACCUCCUGCAGACAAAAGCCUGUGAGUUGGAACAAAGGCGGUGUGUGGCCCUCGAGCAACGGCGGGGGAGCCAGGAGCACAUUAGCGUGCGGACCAACCACUCGUUAGUAGUCAGGCUGAACCCUAUGGUGGGGCACUCCUAGUCGAGUGUGGUGGAUCGGACUCUUCUCUUAUUGCGAAUGACGCAAAAGAGCUAGAGUUACUUUGUUGCUGGAUGCAUUUGGGUCGACAUCAGUCGUGCCCGUAAACACCUGCCUUGGCUCGUGCCUCUGUGCGUUCACCUCACGUGGGUGCGCAUAUUGAAAGGCCAUAGCUGGCGAUCACUCUUGCGACCAGGGCACUGCAUAGCCUGGUUAACGGCCGUAGUGCGCAGAGGUCCAAAAACGGAAUGGUAACACGAGAGUCGGGUCUCUGUUUCUCUGUCGAGUUCAAGCACAGUGAGUGUUGUUGGUGAUUCGAUAUCCCUGUUAAACGUUCUUCUGGUAAAGGUUCGUUUCUCGUACUAUUCGAGAAUGACACGAUCCUCACCUCUUUUUUUGUUCACACAAAGGCUCGCAGACAAGGUUGAACGCCUGACGUGAUCAGGACGUGUUUUCUAACGGUGUGACAAAAAAAGUAACAGAAGGGCUUGCAGUAUCGCGCCAACCUCACGUUGUAGCUAGUGUGUAGGCUCGGAAUGGGUGAGGCCCGGCUGCUCGUGUUGUAUGCUCCACCACCUCGACUUAGGAGAGGUUACCCGCUGAACUUAAGCAUAUCAGUAAGCGGAGGAAAAGAAACCAAUCAGGGAUUCCCUUAGUAGGGGCGACCGAAACGGGAUGAGCCCAGCGCAGAACCUCCCGGGCCACCCGGCCUGCGGCGGAAUGUUGCGUUAAGGGAAAGGUCGUAGUCAAACCCCACAGCCACGCGAGCACUAAGUAAGUCACGAAUUGGCUAUCCCAACUAACGGAGGGAGCAUCUCCACGGAGGGUGUAAGACCCGUGUGGGCGCGUGUAAAUGCUGUGUGGGCUCGGCCUCUUUUCCCUGAGAGUCGCGUUGCUUGAGCAUGCAGCGCUAAGCAGGUCGUAAACUCGAUCUAAGGCUAAAUAUGUCCACAAGACCGAUAGCGAACAAGUACCGUGAGGGAAAGUGAAAAGCACUCUGAAGAGAGA